rnacentral:rRNA from 1 species
UACGAAGGGGGCUAGCGUUGUUCGGAAUCACUGGGCGUAAAGCGUGCGUAGGUGGUUCGUUAAGUCUGUCGUGAAAGCCCCGGGCUCAACCUGGGAAUGGCGAUGGAUACUGGCGGGCUAGAGUGCGGUAGAGGGUGGUGGAAUUCCCGGUGUAGCAGUGAAAUGCGUAGAGAUCGGGAGGAACAUCAGUUGCGAAGGCGGCCACCUGGACCAGCACUGACACUGAGGCACGAAAGCGUGGGGAGCAAACAGG